rnacentral:rRNA from 1 species
UUCUUUUUCCACCGGAGCUUGCUCCACCGGAAAAAGAGGAGUGGCGAACGGGUGAGUAACACGUGGGUAACCUGCCCAUCAGAAGGGGAUAACACUUGGAAACAGGUGCUAAUACCGUAUAACAAUCAAAACCGCAUGGUUUUGAUUUGAAAGGCGCUUUCGGGUGUCGCUGAUGGAUGGACCCGCGGUGCAUUAGCUAGUUGGUGAGGUAACGGCUCACCAAGGCCACGAUGCAUAGCCGACCUGAGAGGGUGAUCGGCCACAUUGGGACUGAGACACGGCCCAAACUCCUACGGGAGGCAGCAGUAGGGAAUCUUCGGCAAUGGACGAAAGUCUGACCGAGCAACGCCGCGUGAGUGAAGAAGGUUUUCGGAUCGUAAAACUCUGUUGUUAGAGAAGAACAAGGAUGAGAGUAACUGUUCAUCCCUUGACGGUAUCUAACCAGAAAGCCACGGCUAACUACGUGCCAGCAGCCGCGGUAAUACGUAGGUGGCAAGCGUUGUCCGGAUUUAUUGGGCGUAAAGCGAGCGCAGGCGGUUUCUUAAGUCUGAUGUGAAAGCCCCCGGCUCAACCGGGGAGGGUCAUUGGAAACUGGGAGACUUGAGUGCAGAAGAGGAGAGUGGAAUUCCAUGUGUAGCGGUGAAAUGCGUAGAUAUAUGGAGGAACACCAGUGGCGAAGGCGGCUCUCUGGUCUGUAACUGACGCUGAGGCUCGAAAGCGUGGGGAGCAAACAGGAUUA